rnacentral:tRNA from 1 species
AGGGAAAUAGCUCAGUGGUAGAGCACAUGCUAAGCAUGUGAGAGGUCCUGGGUUCAAUCCUCAGUACCGCUA